AACGCUGGCGGCGUGCCUAACACAUGCAAGUCGAACGAAGCUGCGAUGAAGGAGGCUUCGGCCAAUGGAUUCGUAGACUUAGUGGCGGACGGGUGAGUAAUGCGUGAGCAACCUGCCCUUCAGAGGGGGACAACAGUUGGAAACGACUGCUAAUACCGCAUGAAAUUAUUGGGAGGCAUCUUCUGAUAAUCAAAGAUUUAUCGCUGAAGGAUGGGCUCACGUCUGAUUAGCUAGUUGGUGAGGUAACGGCUCACCAAGGCUGCGAUCAGUAGCCGGACUGAGAGGUUGAACGGCCACAUUGGGACUGAGAUACGGCCCAGACUCCUACGGGAGGCAGCAGUGGGGAAUAUUGCACAAUGGGCGAAAGCCUGAUGCAGCAACGCCGCGUGAGGGAAGACGGUUUUCGGAUUGUAAACCUCUGUCUUUGGUGAAGAAGAAAGUGACGGUAGCCAAGGAGGAAGCCACGGCUAACUACGUGCC
rnacentral:rRNA from 1 species